rnacentral:ncRNA from 1 species
NNNNNNAAAGAUUGACAGAUUGAUAGCUCUUUCUUGAUUCUAUGGGUGGUGGUGCGUGGCAGUUCGUAGUUGGUGGAGCGAUUUGUCUGGCUAAUUCCGUUAACGAACGAGACCCUAACCUGCUAAAUCGUUUCAUGUAACUACGACCUCGUUGAUGAAAGGCGGCCAAAUGCUCUGCUUGCAUCCAGAGGGCUGUCUGCAGAAGACUCAGCCCUGGGCUUCGUCAAAGACGGCCAGUUCGUGAUCUCCGCAGA